rnacentral:rRNA from 1 species
AUGGGCGCAGCCUGAUGCAGCCACGCCGCGUGAGGGAUGACGGCCUUCGGGUUGUAAACCUCUUUCAGCAAGGAAGAAGGGGAUGUGAUGGUUCCUGUCGAAGAAUCACCUGCUAACUACAUGACACCACCCCCAGUAAUACGUAAGGCGCAGGCGUUGUCCGGAAGUAUUGGGCGUUAAUAGCUCUUACGGGGCUUGUCGCGUCGGAUGUGAAAUCGCGGGGCUUAACCCCAGGUCUGCAUUCUAUACCUGCAAGCUGCAGUGUGGUAGGGGAGAUCGGAAUUCCUGGUGUAGCGGUGAAAUGCGCAGAUAUCAGGAGGAACGCCGGUGGAUCUGGCGGAUCUCUGGUGGAUUACUGACGCUGAUGAGCGAAAACGUGGGGAGCGUGCGGAUUAGAUACCCUGGUAGUCCACGCCGUAAACGUUGGGAACUAGGUGUUGGCGACAUUCCACGUCGUCUGUGCCCUUGCUAACGCAUUUUCUUCCCCGCCUGGGGAGUACGGCCCGCCUGCUAAAACUCAAAGGAAUUGACGGGGGCCCGCACAUUGAGCGGAGCCUGUGGCUUAAUUCGACCAUGCGCUUUAAACCUUACCAACGCUUGACAUAUACCGUAAAGUGGUCAAGAUAAUGCCCCCCUUGAGAUCGAUAUACGCGUGGUGCAUGUCUGACAUCAGCUCUUGUCGUGAGAUGUCGGGUUAAGUCGCGCAACGAUCGCAACCCUUGCUCUGUGUUGGCAGCAUGCCCUUCUUGGUGAUGGCGACUCGGCCGAGACUGCCGAGGUCAACUCGAAUGAUAGUGUGGACGACGUUGAGUCUUCCUGCCACUUAUGUCUUGCGCUGCACACAUGCUACCAUGCCCGGUACAAUGAGCUGCAAUGCCAUGAGGCAGAUCGCAUCUCAAAAGCAGGUCUCAAUUCAUAUUGUAGUCUGCAACGCAACCCCAUGAACUCCGACUUGAUAGUAGUCUCACAUCAACUUUGCUACCGUAAAUACGUUCCGAGACGUUUUCAGACGUCUGUCACGUCACGAAAGUCCGUAACAACUGGAGUCGGGUGGACGAACGCCAUUUUGGAAGGAGCUGUCCAACUAGCGACUUGGCGAUUGUGACAAG